rnacentral:rRNA from 1 species
UACGUAGGGAGCAAGCGUUAUCCGGAAUUAUUGGGUGUAAAGGGUGCGUAGACGGGAUAACAAGUUAGUUGUGAAACCCCUCGGCUCAACUGAGGAACUGCAACUAAAACUAUUAUUCUUGAGUGCAGGAGAGGAAAGUGGAAUUCCUAGUGUAGCGGUGAAAUGCGUAGAUAUUAGGAAGAACACCGGUGGCGAAGGCGACUUUCUGGACUGUAACUGACGCUGAGGCUCGAAAGCAUGGGUAGCGAACAGG